UACGUAGGGUGCGAGCGUUGUCCGGAAUUACUGGGCGUAAAGAGCUCGUAGGUGGUUUGUCGCGUUGUUCGUGAAAACUCACAACUCAAUUGUGGGCGUGCGGGCGAUACGGGCAGACUAGAGUGUGGUAGGGGAGACUGGAAUUCCUGGUGUAGCGGUGAAAUGCGCAGAUAUCAGGAGGAACACCGAUGGCGAAGGCGGGUCUCUGGGCCGAUACUGACGCUGAGGAGCGAAAGCGUGGGGAGCGAACAGG
rnacentral:rRNA from 1 species